AUAAAGCUGUCAGUAACGUGGAC
rnacentral:miRNA from 1 species